AUGGUGGAGGGCACUGCCCAUGACAUUGCUAACCUAAAGUUCCUCCUCCUGUGCUUCCAACAGAUGUCGGGCCUUACCAUUAACUUCGAUAAGAGCGAAGUGAUGGUGCUCGGGGCACCUCCCGAGGAAGCACAGUCCAUAGCGGACCGACUUAACUGUCGGUUGGGUUCUUUCCCCACGACUUACUUGGGGAUCCCCAUUAGUGACUCGUGCCUCACCGUGGCGGACCUCCGCCCCACGGUGACCCGUAUGCAACAUCGGGUCGAACCCUGGAAAGGCCGUUGGUUGUCGAAGGCUGCCCGGGUGAUCCUUAUUAACUCCUCGCUUGCUAGCCUCAUGUGGUUCCUCAUGAGUUUCUAUAGCCUACAUGAGACCCUCCAUCAGGAGAUCGCCAAGUACCAGUCUAGAUUCUUUUGGGCUGGGGAGGGGGAUAAGCAUAAGUACCAUAUGGUUAGCUAGCCCGAUAUCUGCAAACCCAAGGACCAGGGUGGUCUCGGGAUCCUGUCCUCCCGCCGCAUGAACAUAGCCCUCCUGACUCGUUGGCUCUGGCGCAUUGCCAAUGGGGAUGGAGGCCUAUGGCUCACCAUCAUCCAGAACAAGUAUCUCCGUGGACAGCCCCUUGCUUUCUGUCAGCGCUCAGGCGGCUCCCAGUUCUGGCAGGCGGUAGUCCAGCUGCUCCCGGUUCUCCAUAUUGGCACUUCCAUAGCGAUCGGUACCGGAUCAUCGACCCUGUUCUGGUUUGAUUGA
rnacentral:rRNA from 1 species